GGCGGAUUAGUGGCGAACGGGUGAGUAAUACGUGAGUAACCUGCCCUUGACUCUGGGAUAAGCCUGGGAAACUGGGUCUAAUACUGGAUACUACUUCCUGCCGCAUGGUGGGUGGUGGAAAGGGUUUUACUGGUUUUGGAUGGGCUCACGGCCUAUCAGCUUGUUGGUGGGGUAAUGGCUCACCAAGGCGACGACGGGUAGCCGGCCUGAGAGGGUGACCGGCCACACUGGGACUGAGACACGGCCCAGACUCCUACGGGAGGCAGCAGUGGGGAAUAUUGCACAAUGGGCGGAAGCCUGAUGCAGCGACGCCGCGUGAGGGAUGACGGCCUUCGGGUUGUAAACCUCUUUCAGUAGGGAAGAAGCGAGAGUGACGGUACCUGCAGAAGAAGCGCCGGCUAACUACGUGCCAGCAGCCGCGGUAAUACGUAGGGCGCAAGCGUUGUCCGGAAUUAUUGGGCGUAAAGAGCUCGUAGGCGGUUUGUCGCGUCUGCUGUGAAAGCCCGGGGCUCAACCCCGGGUCUGCAGUGGGUACGGGCAGACUAGAGUGCAGUAGGGGAGACUGGAAUUCCUGGUGUAGCGGUGAAAUGCGCAGAUAUCAGGAGGAACACCGAUGGCGAAGGCAGGUCUCUGGGCUGUUACUGAC
rnacentral:rRNA from 1 species